rnacentral:rRNA from 1 species
UUGGAGGGCAAGUCUGGUGCCAGCAGCCGCGGUAAUUCCAGCUCCAAUAGCGUAUAUUAAAGUUGUUGCAGUUAAAAAGCUCGUAGUUGAACUUCGGGGUUUACCCAUUGGUCAGGCUUAAUUGUCUGUACUGGUGAGAUGAAUCUCUACCUUCUGAGGGACUUUCAUGCCAUUUAUUUGGUGUGAUGGGAAAUCAGGACUGUUACUUUGAAAAAAUUAGAGUGUUUAAAGCAGGCUAACGUCUGAAUACAUUAGCAUGGAAUAAUGAAAUAGGACGGACUGAUUCUAUUUCGUUGGUUUCUAGGAUCACCGUAAUGAUUAAUAGGGAUAGUUGGGGGCAUUAGUAUUCAAUUGUCAGAGGUGAAAUUCUUGGAUUUAUUGAAGACUAACUACUGCGAAAGCAUUUGCCAAGGAUGUUUUCAUUAAUCAAGAACGAAAGUUAGGGGAUCGAAGACGAUCAGAUACCGUCGUAGUCUUAACCAUAAACUAUGCCGACUAGGGAUCGGACGAAGUUAAUUUUAUAAUGACGCGUUCGGCGCCUUACGGGAAAC